rnacentral:rRNA from 1 species
CUGCUGCCUCCCGUAGGAGUCUGGGCCGUGUCUCAGUCCCAGUGUGGGGGGCCUUCCUCUCAGAACCCCUACGCAUCGUCGCCACGGUGAGCCGUCACCCCGCCGUCUAGCUAAUGCGCCGCAUGCCCAUCCGCCACCGGAUCGCUCCUUUGGCCACCGGAGGAUGCCCUCCGGUGGCGUCACGGGGUAUUAGGCCGCGUUUCCGCGGGUUAUCCCCCUGUGGCGGCCAGGUUGCAUACGUGUUACUCACCCGUGCGCCGGUCG